rnacentral:tRNA from 1 species
UGACAUGGGGCGUGGCCAAGUGGUAAGGCAGCGGGUUUUGGUCCCGUUAUUGGAGGGUUGGAUCCUUUUGUCCCAGA